rnacentral:rRNA from 1 species
GAUGAACGCUGACAGAAUGCUUAACACAUGCAAGUCAACUUGAACUUCGGUUUGGGUGGCGGACGGGUGAGUAACGCGUAAAGAACUUGCCUCACAGCUAGGGACAACAUUUGGAAACGAAUGCUAAUACCUGAUAUUAUGAUUAUAUGGCAUCGUAUAAUUAUGAAAGCUAUAUGGGCUGUGAGAGAGCUUUGCGUCCCAUUAGCUAGUUGGAGAGGUAACAGCUCACCAAGGCGAUGAUGGGUAGCCGGCCUGAGAGGGUGAUCGGCCACAAGGGGACUGAGACACGGCCCUUACUCCUACGGGAGGCAGCAGUGGGGAAUAUUGGACAAUGGACCGAGAGUCUGAUCCAGCAAUUCUGUGUGCACGAUGAAGUUUUUCGGAAUGUAAAGUGCUUUCAGUUGGGAAGAAAAAAAUGACGGUACCAACAGAAGAAGAGACGGCUAAAUACGUG